rfam:Ictidomys tridecemlineatus contig063934, whole genome shotgun sequence.
GGGGAUAUAGCUCAGUCGGUAGAGUGCUUGCCUUGCAUGCACAAGGCCUGGGGUUCAAUCCCCAGUACCACCA